AAAAAGAGUUAUGGCAGACAAAGAAAAAAUGACAAAAGAAAAAAGAGAUAUAAAGAUAGAGAAGGUGGCAGACAAAGAGAUAGAAAUCUUUGAAAAAAUAUAAAAAUUAAGAGAUAAGAUUCCUUUGUACAGUAAAUAACUUUUGCUUUUUUGAAAGUUCAAUGUGUAUAGCCGGCCAUUUGUAAAGUUUUAUUUAAAAAGUCGUAAAGUAUACAGUAGACGCAUUUAUGUGCAGGCUUAGGAUUUAGUAUAUAUAGAUUGUCAAAUUGUAAAUAAAAG
rnacentral:misc_RNA from 1 species